rnacentral:misc_RNA from 1 species
ACGCCCGAAGUCGUUACUCCAACCUUUCGAGGAGGAGGACGCCUAAGGCAGGGCUAGUGACUGGGGUGAAGUCGUAACAAGGUAGCCGUACCGGAAGGUGUGGCUGGAUCACCUCCUUUAAGGGAGACCUUACCCACUUAAUCUCGAAAGCAAUCAGCAAAUAGAGAAAAGAUUGGUCAACCGGAAGGUCGAGCAAGGGGUUAACCGAGAGGUUAAUAGAAACGGUAAAAAUUCUUUCAAACUAUAGCUAGGUGCUGGGAAAGGGCGAGGGCUAUUAGCUCAGCUGGUUAGAGCGCACCCCUGAUAAGGGUGAGGUCUCUGGUUCAAGUCCAGAAUGGCCCACCUAGCUAGCGUAAAGCCUAGAAAGUGGAAAAGAUUCGGCAUCCUAUCUAAGGAAUCGAGAGAGGAAUUAGAGGGAAUGCUGGAUGAAAAUCCAGUGAGAACCUUGAAAACUGCAUAUUGAAAAGAGAAAGCAGGGAAAGUUAUUCGCAAGAAUAGCAAUCCUAAGAAAUGGUCAAGCUACAAAGGGCUAACGGUGGAUACCUAGGCACACAGAGG